rnacentral:rRNA from 1 species
AAUAAAACCCAAUCAAAAAAAAAUGACGGUAUUAAUAUUUAUAAAGGAGUUUGUUUUUUAAUAGAUAAUCCACAUUUUACCUUACUUAAAAUUUAUUUGUAUACCACCGUAUAGUUACUAUAAUUAUAAUUUCAAAAUGAAAAAAUUCAUAAUAUCAGGUCAAGGUGCAGUUUUUUUAAGUUAAAAUGAACUACAAUUUUUAAUUACAAACAAAUUAUAAUAUGAAAAACUAUAUGAAGAUGGAUUUAUCAGUAAAUAUAAAUUAAAUUAUUAUAUUGAAAUCUUUUAUUGAUAUGU